UACGUAGGGGGCAAGCGUUGUCCGGAUUUAUUGGGCGUAAAGCGCGUGUAGGCGGCCAUACAGGUCCGUUGUGAAAACUCGAGGCUUAACCUCGAGACGUCGAUGGAAACCGUAUGGCUAGAGUCCGGAAGAGGAGAGUGGAAUUCCUGGUGUAGCGGUGAAAUGCGCAGAUAUCAGGAAGAACACCCGUGGCUAAGGCGGCUCUCUAGUACGGUACUGACGCUGAGACGCGAAAGCGUGGGGAGCGAACAGG
rnacentral:rRNA from 1 species